rnacentral:lncRNA from 1 species
UUUAUAGUUGUUUCUUGCAUUGAUGAUGAAGACCUUAUCAAUCGUUAGACACGAAUUGCACUAAAGUCUAUGAACAGAGGUGAAUACGAUGAGAGUUGGGUCAUACGUCCCAUACCCAAAGAUACUUAGAAUGGGGGUAAGAAUACUCCAGUCCCACUCAUUUUCCAUUACUUAAGGCUCAUAUCGUACAACUUGACUCAUGAUUGAUAAGUUGUUGAAGUGGUCCUUGCUUUUUG